rnacentral:rRNA from 1 species
CCUACGGGGGGCAGCAGUGAGGAAUAUUGGUCAAUGGACGAAAGUCUGAACCAGCCAAGCAGCGUGAAGGAUGACUGCCCUAUGAGUUGUAAACUUCUUUUGUAUGGGAAUAAUAGUUUCCACGUGUGGGGUUUUGUAUGUACCAUAUGAAUAAGGAUCGGCUAACUCCGUGCCAGCAGCCGCGGUAAUACUGAGGAUCCGAGCGUUAUCCGGAUUUAUUGGGUUUAAAGGGAGCGUAGGUGGUUUGUUAAGUUAGUUGUGAAAUGUCGGGGCUUAACCGGAUAACUGCAUUUGAAACUGGUAGACUGGAGUACAGAAGAGGUGGGCGGAAUGAGUGGUGUAGCGGUGAAAUGCUUAGAUAUCACGAAGAACUCCGAUUGCGAAGGCAGCUUACUGGACCGCAACUGACACUGAGGCUCGAAAGCGUGGGUAGCAAACAGGAUUAGAUACCCUUGUAGUC